GGGCGUAUAGUGUAGUGGUAGCAUGCUUCAUUUGGGUUGAAGAGGUCUCGGGUUCGAACCCCGAUUCGCCCC
rfam:Allomyces macrogynus ATCC 38327 genomic scaffold supercont3.6, whole genome shotgun sequence.